GCGUCCGCGUCACUCUCUUUUUGCAUUUACUGCACAACGGACAAUUUUAUACAUUAUUGUGUCCCACUUGAAAUUGAUACUUAUUGAAAACUAAUCGCAUCAGAGACGAUAUGGCUGAUUCUUUUGAACAAAAUCAAACGGAAGAAGAGAGGCCAACAAUAAAAAUUGAUGGACGAAAACACCACUAUACGAAUAGUGAAGAAGAACUACAUGCUUCUGUCCAAGCUUUAAACCAAUGCAAUAAGAUAUAGCAGAGGAUAUGGCAAAAAUUGACAAGCAAUUGAAGAAAAUGAACCUGAAAGAAUUUCGAGAAUUGUACAAGUGUCGCAAGUUUAAGGAUGGAUUUUCCAAAAUCACAAAAACAUAUGGAAAAAAUUGUUUAUCACAACUUUCCUUAAAAAUACACCAGCUCGAAGACAUUUCUACCCAAUUAGAGAAACAUAUGGGGGCAGAAUUCCGCGAUGCUGUCAUAGCAACGGGAAGCAAACUGUUGGAAAUAUAUAAAAUUGAGUUUUUGGGUAAAUUCUAUUUAAUUUAGAAUUCCUGUCUUACAUGUUUUUGUAGUAAUUUGUUUUAUGUAUCUUUUAAGCAACCGUGAUUAAUAUCAACUCAGUUUUUCUUUUCCAUCCCGCGCUGGUAUCCUUCCCAUGCUUUUAGUAUGGUAGGGAUACGAAGCGGGAAUCAAAUUUUUGGUAAAGUAAUUCUGAGUCAGUAGUAUCAAGUUUCUCGAAAUUUUCUUUGCUAAUAAGCGACAAGUCUUGGAUUUCGUUUCUCAAGCGGGGCUGGUAAUUCUUCCAAGAAUUUUGGCCAGAUUCUCGGGUACAAUCAACGACUCGGGAGUUCAAAUCUGUGCCAAUGUGGCCAUGGACGUUUUCAAAAUUUUAAUAACUACGAUGAAUGUGUCUAAAUGAAUUUCUUGAAUCCAAACAUGUAAUUACAAGAAUUUAAAAUUUGGAUUAAUCAUAAUCAUAAAAUUUGACAGUUAUAAGAAAUAAAGUUGUUACCGUCCAUAAUUAUCCCCAAAA